rnacentral:sRNA from 1 species
AUGCAAUCACGAAAAUAUUUCGACAAAUUAAAUCGUAAAGCGAAGCGAAAUUAUCAGCUAGAACAACAAAAUAAACUUCAAAAACUUGGCGAACAAAAUUCUUCUGAAUUUUGGAAGUCUAUAGGCAAGUUAGGACUUGCCAAUGAUCGCAAAUCGAGACAGACUUUUCAAAUUCGAUCGGAAACAGGAGAAAUUAUAAGUGACAUUGACUCUGUAUUAGAAAAAUGGAAAAUAGAUUAUGAAAAGCUUUACAACAGUGCUGAUAUGAAUGGUUCGUAUGAUGAUGAAUUUCUUAAGGACAUUAAAAAUAAACUUCAAAAUAGGAAUAAUUUAGUCAAUGACAAUAAUAUUGAUACAACUGAACUAAAUAGAGCUAUAGAAAGAGAUGAGGUACGCGAUGCCGUUUUUCGAGCGAAGCAAGGUAAAUCCGCAGGAAUUGAUGAGAUACCGAGUGAGAUUUUGCGAAAUGACACGUGUAUAAACUUGCUAUAUAAAAUUAUUCAGUUUUGUUUCAUAGAAGGGCACGUUCCUAGUGAAUGGUUAACGAGUAUGAUCUCUCCGAUUCCGAAACCGAAAAUGGAUCCCCUUAAUCCACUUGAAUAUCGUCCAAUUUCAUUAAUAUCAGUGCCGUGCAAAAUAUAUGCGGAUAUUUUGAAUAAAAGAUUGACAAAUUGGUUAGAACAAAAUGACAUGUUAGCAGAAGAGCACAAUGGAUUUAGACGUAACCGAAGCUGUUUGGAUCAUUUAUAUAUACUUACAACAAUUAUUAAAAAUAGAAAGUUACAAAGGAAAGAUUCUUUCGUGUGCUUUGUGGAUGCUAAUAAUUAUCAAAGGUACCAGGAUUAUAAUUUAGUACGCCAGACGCGCGUUUCGUCUACAUAAGACUCAUCAGUGACGCUCAUAUCAAAAUAUUUAUAAAGCCAAAAAAGUACAAAGUUGAAGAGCAUUGAGGAUCCAAAAUUCUAAGAAGGUUUUUGAUAAUGUUAAUCGGGACAUGUUGUGGUAUAAGCUGAUCAAAAUUGGUAUUAACGGAACGUUUCUAAAAGCAAUCCAGUCUCUUUACGAUGCGACACAAAGUGCUGUAAAAUUAAGAAACAACUUGACAGAUAUUUUCCCGGUUCAAUACGGUGUGAAACAAGGCUGUAAAAUGUCUCCUACUUUGUAUUCUAUAUAUGUGAACGAUCUUGCGGAUGAUAUUCGCUCGCUUAAUACUGAUGUUGAUAUUGGAGACUUAAAUGUAUCUAUUCUUCUUUACGCUGACGAUGUUGCGUUGAUAGCUCCCAAUGAGCAGAAUUUACGAAAGAUGUUAGACUGUUUAAAUACCUGGUGUAGGAAAUGGAGGAUGAUUCUAAAUACAGAAAAAACGAAGGUUAUUCAUUUUCGUAAUAAAAACAUCUCUAGAUCUGCCAUUAAAUUUAAAUGUGGAGAUAUUUCAGUUUAUUAUAUUUCAUCCUACAGAUAUUUCGGACUACAUUUGAAUGAAUUUUUGGAUUAUAAACAUACAGUACGAGAAAUUACUAAAUCAGCAAGCAGAGCUCUUUCAGCCUUAUAUGCUAAAUAUAUAUCGUGUGGUGGAAUGACUUAUAAUGUGUUAACGAAACUAUAUAGGUCUGUAGUUGAACCUGUUCUAUACUAUGGUUCUGGAAUAUGGGGACAUACAAAUUGGAGAGAGGUACAAGUUAUACAGAACAAAGCAUGUCGGUUAUUCUUAGGAAGUGCUUCAAAUGCGUCAAAUAUAGCCAUUCCAAGGUGA